rnacentral:rRNA from 1 species
AGCAGCCGCGGUAAUUCCAGCUCCAAUAGCGUAUAUUAAAGUUGUUGCAGUUAAAAAGCUCGUAGUUGAAUUUCGGGGUUAGUAGGUUGGUCAUGCCCCUGGUAUGUACUGGUCUCACUGAUUCCUCCUUCCUUAUGAACCGUAAUGCCAUUAAUUUGGUGUUGCGGGAAAUUUGGACUGUUACUUUGAAAAAAAUUAGAGUGUUUAAAGCAAGCUAACGCUUGAAUACAUUAGCAUGGAAUAAUGAAAAUAGGACGUUCGAUCUUAUUUUGUUGGUUUCUAGGAUUGACGUAAUGAUUAAUAGGGAUAGUUGGGGGCAUUAGUAUUCAAUUGUCAGAGGUGAAAUUCUUGGAUUUAUUGAAGACUAACUACUGCGAAAGCAUUUGCCAAGGAUGUUUUCAUUAAUCAAGAACGAAAGUUAGGGGAUCGAAGACGAUCAGAUACCGUCGUAGUCUUAACCAUAAACUAUGCCGACUAGGGAUCGGAUGAUGUUAAUUUUUUAAUGACUCAUUCGGCGCCU